GCCUCGGAUAGCGGACGUGACGAUGGCAUUCUCGCCUGAAGAGCGAGGAUCUCCUUGUGGGUUAGGGGCGGAGUGAUGAUCGGAUCGUCGUCCAUGGCG
rnacentral:tRNA from 1 species